AUUGAACGCUGGCGGCAGGCCUAACACAUGCAAGUCGAACGGUAACAGGAAGAAGCUUGUUUCUUUGCUGACGAGUGGCGGACGGGUGAGUAAUGUCUGGGAAACUGCCUGAUGGAGGGGGAUAACUACUGGAAACGGUAGCUAAUACCGCAUAACGUCGCAAGACCAAAGAGGGGGACCUUCGGGCCUCUUGCCAUUGGAUGUGCCCAGAUGGGAUUAGCUAGUAGGUGGGGUAACGGCUCACCUAGGCGACGAUCACUAGCUGGUCUGAGAGGAUGACCAGCCACACUGGAACUGAGACACGGUCCAGACUCCUACGGGAGGCAGCAGUGGGGAAUAUUGCACAAUGGGCGCAAGCCUGAUGCAGCCAUGCCGCGUGUAUGAAGAAGGCCUGCGGGUUGUAAAGUACUUUCAGCGGGGAGGAAGGGAGUAAAGUUAAUACCUUUGCUCAGUGACGGUACCCGCAGAAGAAGCACCGGCUAACUCC
rnacentral:rRNA from 1 species